GACUUUUGGCCCUUUUUGUUUGCCCUCUCUCUCAAGCGUCUCUGCUUUUGGUUCCGUGCUCUUAGGGUUUUAAAGAAGGGCUUCUCUCUCUCUAUCCCUUUCACUUUCUCUCUCUAAAGUGAUAAAAAUCCCAAUUUCAGGAAGAGAAGACGAAAGCCCAUGGAUAGAUAUACCAGGGUUGAAAAACCAAAGCCUGAAUCACCCAUAAACGAGAACGAGAUCCGUAUCACCUCAGGUGGUCCUGUUAGAAACUAUAUCAGCUAUGCUACUUCUCUUCUCCAGGAGAAACAUGUAAGAGAGGUUGUCUUGAAAGCAAUGGGACAGGCAAUUAG
rnacentral:misc_RNA from 1 species